rnacentral:SRP_RNA from 2 species
GCCGGGCAUGGUGGUGCAUGCCUGUAAUCCCAGCUCCUCAGGAGGCUGAGGUAGGAGAAUCGCUUGAAUCCAGGAGGCAGAAGUUGCAGUGGGCUGAGAUUGUGCCACUGUACUCCAGCCUGGGUGACAGAGUGAGACUCUGUCUCAA